rnacentral:rRNA from 1 species
AUAAUGAGUCAGCGAGUUACUCUACCGUGCGAGGUUAAGCGAAAGCGUAGCCGUAGUGAAAGCGAGGCUUAAUAGGCCGACUAGUACGUUGGAGUAGACCCGAAACCGGGUGAUCUAUCCAUGAGCAGGUUGAAGCAAGGGUAAAGCCUUGUGGAGGACCGAACCGUCAACGGCUGAAAACGUUCCGGAUGACUUGUGGAUAGGGGUGAAAGGUCAAUCAAACCCGGUGAUAGCUGGUUCUCCCCGAAAUAUAUUGAGGUAUAGCCUCGGGAAUUGAUUAGCGGAGGUAAAGCACUGACAGAGCUAGGGGUCCUACCAGAUUACCAAACUCUAUCAAACUCAGAAUGCCGCUUAAUUGUAUCCCGGGAGUCAGACGGCGGGUGCGAAGGUUCGUCGUCAAAAGGGAAACAGCCCAGACCAACAGCUAAGGUCUCCAAAUCCAUGCUCAGUGGUGAAGGUAGUGGAACCGUUUAGACAGCCAGGACGUUGGCUUAGAAGCAGCCAUCGUUUAAAGAAAGCGUAAUAGCUCACUGGUCUAAUGGCUCUGCGCCGAAAAUGUAACGGGGCUAAGCAUGGUACCGAAGCUUUGGCAAUCCCCUUUGGGGAUUGGGUAGGGGAGCGUUCGCUGCGGGCUGAAGGUGUGCCGGAAGGCAUGCUGGACUGCAGUGAAGUGAUUAUGCUGACAUGAGUAACGAUAAAAUAUGUGAAAAACAUAUUCGCCGAAAACCCGAGGUUUCCUGGGUAAAGGUAAUCUUCCCAGGGUUAGUCGGAUCCUAAGGUGAGGGUGAAAGCCGUAACCGAUGGAAAACAGGUUAAUAUUCCUGUACUUGUUGUGUAGCGCGAUGGAGGGAUGCAGGAAGAUAGGCGGGCCGGGUGUUGGAUAUCCCGGUGCAAGCGUGUAGGAAUAUCCGGUAGGCAAAUCCGCCGGACGAAUCUGAGACGCGAGUCCGUGGGCGCAAGCCCUGAAGCCGUUGAGUCUAUGCUGCCUAGAAAAGCUCCUAAGUUUAUCCACAGCAAUCCGUACCGCAAACCAACUCAGGUGGGUGGGAUGAACAAUCCAAGGCGCUCGAGAGAAUCAUGGCCAAGGAACUCGGCAAAAUAACCCCGUAACUUCGGAAGAAGGGGUGCUCUCUAGGGUGACAUGUUUAACAUAUGAAGCCCCGGGGAGCCGCAGUGAAUUGGUGGUGGCGACUGUUUACUAAAAACAUAGGUCUGUGCGAAGUCCUAAAGACGACGUAUACGGACUGACGCCUGCCCGGUGCUGGAAGGUUAAAAGGAGGGGUCAGCGCAAGCAAAGCUCCGAAUUGAAGCCCCAGUAAACGGCGGCCGUAACUAUAACGGUCCUAAGGUAGCGAAAUUCCUUGUCGGGUAAGUUCCGACCUGCACGAAUGGCGUAACGAUCUCCACACUGUCUCGGCCAGAGACUCGGUGAAAUUGCAGUCGCGGUGAAAAUUCCGUGUACCCGCAGAAAGACGGAAAGACCCUGUGCACCUUUACUAUAGCUUGACAUUGGAUUUUGGGCCUGCAUGUGUAGGAUAGGUGGGAGGCUGUGAACCCUGUACGCCAGUAUGGGGGGAGCCAUCCUUGAAAUACCACCCUUGCAUGUUUAAGUCCUAACUUCUUCCGGUUAUCCCGGAGAAAGACAGUGUCUGGCGGGUAGUUUGACUGGGGCGGUCGCCUCCUAAAGUGUAACGGAGGCAUGCAAAGGUUCCCUCAGCCUGAUCGGAAACCAGGCGCUGAGUGCAAACGCAUAAGGGAGCUUGACUGUAAGAGAGACAUCUCGAACAGGAACGAAAGUUGGCGUUAGUGAUCCGGUGGUCCCGAAUGGAAGGGCCAUCGCUCAUUGGAUAAAAGGUACGCCGGGGAUAACAGGCUGAUCGCAUCCAAGAGUUCACAUCGACGAUGCGGUUUGGCACCUCGAUGUCGGCUCAUCACAUCCUGGGGCUGUAGCAGGUCCCAAGGGUACGGCUGUUCGCCGUUUAAAGUGGUACGCGAGCUGGGUUUAAAACGUCGUGAGACAGUUUGGUCCCUAUCUUCUGUGGGCGAAGGAGAAUUGAGAGGGCCUGUCCCUAGUACGAGAGGACCGGGAUGGACGCACCCCUGGUGAUCCUGUUGUCGCGCCAGCGGCAUAGCAGGGUAGCUAUGUGCGGAAGGGAUAACCGCUGAAAGCAUCUAAGCGGGAAGCCUGCCUCAAGAUAAGUUCUCCCCUCGAAAGAGCUGAAGGGCCCGGGUAGACUCCCCGGUCGAUAGGCUGGAGGUGUAAGCGCGGCGACGUGCUCAGCUGACCAGUACUAAUAGCCCGAGCGGCUUAUUUUU